GGCAGUGUGGCAUAGUGGUUAGGGAACUGGGCUUAUAACACAAAGGUUGCAGGUUCAAUUCCCAGGUAGGUCACUGCUG
rnacentral:tRNA from 1 species